GCGGAAGUAGCUCAGUGGUAGAGCAUCGCCUUGCCAAGGCGAGGGUCGCGGGUUCGAAUCCCGUCUUCCGCU
rfam:Desulfotomaculum gibsoniae DSM 7213, complete genome.